UACGUAGGGUGCAAGCGUUAUCCGGAAUUAUUGGGCGUAAAGAGCUCGUAGGCGGUCUGUCGCGUCUGCUGUGAAAACUCGGGGCUUAACCCCGGGCCUGCAGUGGGUACGGGCAGACUAGAGUGCGGUAGGGGAGACUGGAAUUCCUGGUGUAGCGGUGAAAUGCGCAGAUAUCAGGAGGAACACCAAUGGCGAAGGCAGCUCGCUGGGACGGUACUGACGCUGAGACGCGAAAGCGUGGGGAGCAAACAGG
rnacentral:rRNA from 1 species